UUUAAGGUCUAGCCUGCCCACUGAUUAUUUAAAUGGCCGCGGUAUUUUGACCGUGCAAAGGUAGCAUAAUAAUUAGUUUUUUAAUUGAAAGCUGGAAUGAAUGGUUGAACGAGAAAGCUUCUGUCUCUGCUUAAGUUUAUUUAGAAUUUUAUCUUUAAGUAAAAAAGCUUAAAUGUUUUUAAAAGACGAGAAGACCCUAUGGAGUUUUAUAGAUGUAUAUAUGUUCUUUUUUUUAGAAUUGUUUAUUAGGGCAUGUUGUAAUUUAUUUGGUUGGGGUGAUUGGAAAAUUUGAUAAACUUUUCUUUAUUAGCUAAACACUGAUUAGUGAUUAAUUGAUCCAUAUGUUUAUGAUUAUAAGAUUAAAUUACCCUAGGGAUAACAGCGUUAUUCUUCUUGAGAGUUCUUAUCGAAAGAAGGGUUUGCGACCUCGAUGUUGGAUUAAAAUUAACUUCUGGUGCAGUAGCUAGAAAUGUUAGGUCUGUUCGACCUUUAAAAUUUUACAUGAUCUGAGUUUAAACCGGCGUGAGCCAGGUUGGUUUCUAUCUUUAAAUAAUUUUAAUAUUUUAGUACGAAAGGAUCAAAUAUUAACUAUAAUAGUUUAAUGUGAAUAUUAUUAAUAUA
rnacentral:rRNA from 1 species